UUGUAAUUUGUAGAAGGUGCUUCGGGCGCGGCGACGGUUCAAGUCCUUUGGAACUGGGCGUCUUAGAGGGUGAGAACCCCGUACGUGACCGCCCGCCAACCCCGUGUGAAGCCCUUUCGACGAGUCGAGUUGUUUGGGAAUGCAGCUCUAAAUGGGUGGUAAAUUUCAUCUAAAGCUAAAUACCUGCCAGAGACCGAUAGCGCACAAGUAGAGUGAUCGAAAGAUGAAAAGCACUUUGAAAAGAGAGUCAAACAGUACGUGAAAUUGUUGAAAGGGAAGCGCUUGCAACCAGACUCGCUCGCGGGUGCUCAGCCGUCCCUCGGGGCGGUGCACUCACCCGCGAUCGGGCCAGCAUCGGUUCUAACGGCCGGACAAAGGCCCUGGGAACGUAGCUCUCUUCGGGGAGUGUUAUAGCCCGGGGUGCAAUGCGGCCCGCCGGGACCGAGGACCGCGCUCUUGCUAGGAUGCUGGCGUAAUGGUUGCCAGCGACCCGUCUUGAAACACGGACCAAGGAGUCGACCAACUGCGCGAGUGUUUGGGCGUAAAACCCAUGCGCGUAAUGAAAGUGAACGGAGGUGGGAGCUUCUUUUUUGGGGGGCGCACCAUCGACCGAUCCUGAUGUUUUCGGAUGGAUUUGAGUAUGAGCGUUGCUGGUCGGACCCGAAAGAUGGUGAACUAUGCGUGAAUAGGGUGAAGCCAGAGGAAACUCUGGUGGAGGCUCGCAGCGGUUCUGACGUGCAAAUCGAUCGUCAAAUUUGCGUAUAGGGGCGAAAGGUGCGUAGUUGUUUUUUGGGCUUUCCGCUGCAAAAUUAUUGAGAACGUUUGCUGACUUUUAUUUAAAACAGACUAAUCGAACCGUCUAGUAGCUGGUUCCUGUCGAAGUUUCCCUCAGGAUAGCAGUAACGAAAAACAGUCUCAUGAGGUAGAGCGAACGAUUAGAGGCCUUGGGGUUGAAACAACCUUAACCUAUUCUCGAACUUCGAAUAUGUGAGAAGUCCUUGUUGCUUAAUUGAA
rnacentral:rRNA from 1 species